AAGUUGUAUGAAUUACAUUGCAUAAGCCCCAUUUGGUUUAAACUAGUCCUGAUUGAAGUAAAAAAAAAAUACUAUAAAAUCUAUGAAAGCAUACCUAAUUAUGUUUUCUACGAUAAGCAUCAAAAUUGGAAACUAAAUUAAAUAAUCUCUCUUUUAAUAUGCCAUCACAAAUGGUUUGGCCAGUUGAGUUAUUCCUGGUCAUGUUGAAAGGAAUGACACUUUUGUAUAUCCAUCGAGGAAUCUAGAUGGUGCCAAGUUGGAAGAGAAAGUACAGGGCAGAUAUUGUUGACAGAGAUGCACGUGUUGGCAGCAUGCAUCAACUCAGGAUUGAGAAAUAUAAAUUAUCAAUUAAAUUGUUGGUUUUAUUGAAUAGAUUGGUUUUUGGUUCUUAUCACCUUGAGAUGCUUCAAUCAUGUUACUUUUUUUUUGUUUAUUUUGCUCCUUUUCCUUUUCCUUUUCCCUAUUCAAUUGUAGCCUGUUCCUGGUAUGCUUUUCUAUAUCAUUUAGCUUAUUCUUUCUUAUUGAAACAGAAAUAUCGCCGCCUCAAGAAAUGGACGAUUUUUAUCCAUUGAAUCUAACAAAACUACUGAUUGUAAAGAUUCUAAUAAAGUCAAUGAACCUUUUAAGGUUGAGGAAGCAGAGACAGUACAUGCUCCCCCACCUCCAUCAGAGAAGUUACUUAUCCUGGGGGGAAAUGGAUUUGUCGGUUCACAUGUUUGCAAGGAAGCUAUAGAUCGUGGUUUAGCUGUUGCUAGUCUCAGCAGAUCGGGUAGGUCAUCCAUACAAGAACCUUGGGCUAGCAGCGUGUCUUGGCAUCAAGGAGAUCUUCUUUCAACUGACUCGUGGAAGGAUGCACUGAAUGGAGUAACUUCAGUGGAAAGGAAGUCGUGAAGGGGGAUGUAAUGCUAUGAUGCAAGCGUGUCAAAGUAGAGAAGUGCUAUUGGGAUACGAUUUGAUCAUAGAGUCCCAUCGAGUUCAAAGGAAAGUUCUACAGAAUCAUUAUUAGACCAGCUAUACAUGAUUGAAUAUUGGGCUGCGAAAGGAUAAAAUAAUAAUAAGGGCGAGCACAGUGGCAAGGAAGAUACCUGUGCUGGACCCCUAGUCUAUUGACGAUAAAGUUUCAAGGAGAUAAAGCCUAGCUUCUUGUUGUUCUACAUUUUCCGGAUGGGGUGCGAGCGCUACUGAUUGUUAGCUGCAUAAGUUUUGCAAUGUUUGGGCAGUUGAAAUCAUGUAUAUAUGGAAAAAGAAAGAAAAAGUUUGAUUGAAUGCAGCAUAGAGUUGUGAUAACUCUGAUAUUUGAGAGUUAAGGAUUAUUUGUAAAAGCAACUUUUUAACUGAUUGACUGUUCCACAAUGUUACAAGUCUAUGUUAUGUUACAUGGAUUCAGUCACAUGUCAAACUGGGUAUGUUUUGCCAAAAAUAUACCGUUGUUUGAGUAUGAAGCAACAAACAUGAGCUAUUGUGUCUGAACAGAAGAGACCAAGUACAUGUAGUUGGCGAGUCAUCUUUUAUAGUGCUAUAGCCUUCGGAUGUACAAUCAUCCACCAGUCUAAUGAACUUCACUAUUGUACAGCACCGUUGAAGAGAGAAAUAUUUCCAUGGUCAAACCAAUUACGAGCGGAUUUUGAAUAACACUGCGAUAAUUUCACUAAUUAGUUAUGACAUCAUAAAGUGAUGGAUCAAUCAAUGCAAGGAAAAGAAGUGCCUCCAAUUGUAUUCUUAUAUGGAUUUUCAUGUUAAUGUCCCACAAUAUACUAUAUUUACAUAUCAGCCUACUUCCAGUGUGGGGUAUCUUAUCUUGACCAUUGAAUUUUGAUUCAAUGCUUGAGAUUAAAAGUAAUCACCCAAGGUUAGGGUGGAAGUAUCCAGCAUUUUUAUUCUUUCUUUCUUUCUUUCUCUCUCUAGCUCUAUUUACCUUUCGACCUCCUUACCUAUCUAGUUCUCUUUGCAUCUGUACACAAAGAGGGAGAGGGAUAGGGGGACACACACAUAUUAACAUGCACACAUACACACACAGAGACACAGAUAAGUUUUUUCUAUUUUUCCUUUUCCUUUUUUCUUUGAGCACGAAUGUGUGUGUAAGGACGUACUGGCUUCAUCUUUUUUGCUUCUAGUCAUUUUUUACUUUAGCGCUCUGAUUUUAUUGACAAACGUAUACGAACAUAUUUUUGGGUGCUUUGUACUGUACAAUAUUUCGGGCUUAGUGGAAUGAGUUACGUUAGACCCAAACCUCUUCGUUUCUCCAAAUCUUCCCCUGUGAUGAGACUUGGAAGUUGCAACAUUUGUAGGUUUGCUAAAAUAUUAAUCACUAUGAUAUCCUGUGGUUUAGAAUUUUGUUUUACUCCCUUUUUCUGGUAAUUUUAUUUGUUAAUUAAUGAUUAGUACGCUGAUUAAGUGUGUCAGUUCUUGUCCUUUUUAUGCUGUUUUCAUUUUGUAACUGGUGCUAGUGU